GCCUUCGUGGUGUAGUGGUCAACACGCAUAGUGCGUAUUCGAGAGGUCCGUGGUUCGAGUCCCGGCGAGGGGA
rnacentral:tRNA from 1 species